GCCCGCCUAGCUCAAUCGGAUAGAGCGUCAGACUCUUAUUGUGAGUGGCAAGGUGGUGAUCUGAAGGCUGCGAGUUCGACCCUCGCGGUGGGCU